rnacentral:rRNA from 1 species
CCUACGGGCGGCAGCAGUGGGGGAUAUUGCACAAUGCGGGGAACCCUGAUGCAGCGACGCCGCGUGGGUGAAGAAGCGCCUCGGCGCGUAAAGCCCUGUCAGCAGGGAAGAAAAUGACGGUACCUGAAGAAGAAGCCCCGGCUAACUACGUGCCAGCAGCCGCGGUAAGACGUAGGGGGCAAGCGUUAUCCGGAUUUACUGGGUGUAAAGGGGUCGGAGGCGGCGUUGCAAGCCAGGGGUGAAAGCCCGGGGCUCAACCCCGGGACGGCUAUUGGAACUGCGUGGCUGGAGUGCAGGAGGGGCAGGCGGAAUUCCUGGUGUAGCGGUGAAAUGCGUAGAUAUCAGGAGGAACACCGGUGGCGAAGGCGGCCUGCUGGACUGCAACUGACGUUGAGGCCCGAAAGCGUGGGGAGCAAACAGGAUUAGAUACCCUAGUAGUC